GAUGAACGCUAGCGGCAGGCCUAAUACAUGCAAGUCGAACGGUGUCUUCGGACAUAGUGGCGCACGGGUGCGUAACACGUAUGCAACCUACCUUACAUUGGGGGAUAGCCUUUCGAAAGGGAGAUUAAUACCGCAUAAGACAGUAGCUGGGCAUCCAGCAGCUGUUAAAGAUUUAUCGAUGUAAGCUGGGCAUGCGUCCAAUUAGCUAGUUGGUGAGGUAACGGCUCACCAAGGCAAUGAUUGGUAGGGGAACUGAGAGGUCAAUCCCCCACACUGGCACUGAGAUACGGGCCAGACUCCUACGGGAGGCAGCAGUAGGGAAUAUUGGGCAAUGGACGCAAGUCUGACCCAGCCAUGCCGCGUGCAGGAUGAAGGCGUUAUGCGUUGUAAACUGCUUUUAUACAGGAAGAAACGACUCUUGCGAGAGGCAUUGACGGUACUGUAUGAAUAAGCCACGGCUAACUACGUGCCAGCAGCCGCCGUAAUAC
rnacentral:rRNA from 1 species